UACAGGGGGUGCUAGCGUUGUUCGGAAUUACUGGGCGUAAAGGGCGCGCAGGCGGCGCAUUUUGUCAGGCGUGAAAGCCCCGGGCUUAACCUGGGAACUGCGUUUGAUACGGAUGGGCUAGAGUUCGGGAGAGGAGAGUGGAAAUUCCCAGUGUAGAGGUGAAAUUCGUAGAUAUGGGAAGAACACCCGUGGCUAAGGCGGUUCUCUAGUACGGUACUGACGCUGAGACGCGGAAAGCGUGG
rnacentral:rRNA from 1 species